rnacentral:lncRNA from 1 species
ACUUCAUAAACUUUCUCCUCUACAUUUUCCUGUUCGGGGAGAGGGAAAGAAAAGAACAUCUUGCAAAACUCCCCGGCUUAUCAUAAACAUAGUUUUUUUUAUUAUUUAUUUUCUUUUUUCCCCUCUCUCUCCCUCUCUCCCUGAAUUCCAUUUCUUAAAUUGGCAGCGCGGGUCCAAGCCUGUAGCCCCAAAUCGGAUAAUCUCUGCAGCUGAUAACAAGCAAAAGAGAAGCCAGGCAACAGCCAUAUUAAAGAAGAAAACAAUCAACUCUGAGAUCCAACUUAGAAAUAAUGUUUCAUUCAAGAUAAGGCUCGUGGCUUAGGAGAUUGUGACCUGGCUUGCAUCAUUCUAAGACUUCUAUCGUCUGUUUUCAAAACCCAAGGAGGACCUCCUUUUCUGUGUGAUAGUUCCUCAUGCUUUGCCAGCCACUGGGUCUUUAAGGAAGCUUGCCAAGAGUUCCCGGCUGGGAAGGACAGUUCGAGUUCAUCAUAGACAAUGAGCUGGCACCACAGUUUAAGUGACUCACCAACCUGGUUGCCCACUUCAAAAUGUCAAGAACCACACUAUCUAAUUGAAAGAACUGUGUUUUAGCAAAGUGUAAUUGGAUCGCCUGGCAAGAUCAUCUCAAACUAUGUCUCUGACCUUGCCUUUCAGUGGCUAUUUUGAGCACAAGAGGAGAAAGGAAAUGAUUCCUGAAUUAUAUCUUGUUUUUAAAAAUUAAGAUUAAUUAAUACUUGGUUUUAUGUUCAUUCCAUUGUAGGAACUUAGUGAUUAUUACAAAACAGUCAAAAUAGGUCAUAGCAAAAUGAACGUUUAAGAUUAGGUUAAAACAUUCCUCUGAAAUUUUAGUAUUCACUUUUGAAGUGUCAAUUACUAUAUUUCUGUAAUUUCUCAUUUUUUUCUUGGCUUAGAGUCAAGAUGAAAAAUGAUAUUUGAAUCAAAGACAUUGUUUUGUUAUAUAGCCACUCCUUUCUAAAAUGCAAAUCCACCCUCCCCUCACCAAUGCUUUAUUCUUUGUGCGCGCACACACACACACACACACACACACACACACACACACACACAGACAUACACAGAACCAGCACCCAAAUGGUAGAGGAGGUCCUUCCAAGACUUCUAGGACCUGGAUCAUGUAAGCAGUAGAUGAGAAAAUGAAGUAAGAGAUAUAGAGUAAUAACAAUAAAAGUCAAUGAUUUCAUUUUACAAAAAAGUCAUUGUGUAGUACUCAGAUAUUUUUAAGAGCAAGUAUUAUUAUGACUAAAGUAUAUUAUACUUCUAAAUUAUUAUGAUUCUCAUCUAAUUUCAAGCCACACAUAGGCGCCAUUUGAAAGCAUUUUGUGUUACAACCUAUCAACAAAAAUCAACUAAUAGUUUUAUAACGUGCAUAGGUUUACCCCAUGGGGAAUUAAAAUUUUUAUCUGCAAGUAUUUCUGUUGUUGUGAGACUUUAGGACAAGACAACAUUUGGUGUUAACAUAGAAGAAUAUUCUAUGGCUUUUUUAGCUUUAAAGUUCAUUACUCUAAAAUAAAGUACACGUGGUAUUUUUUUCUUCCUAGUGUUCUCUUAUUAUAUGUAGAGUAUUUUCGGUUGUUGUUUUUAACGUAUACAUUAUUUUUAUUAAGUCAUUUCAUAAAAGAUAAGAUAUAUACUAAUAGACCCUUGGUUUUCUCCUAAUUUAAUUAUUUCAAGUCAAGCAAAAUUGGGCAAUUUUCUUUCAGGAAAAAAAAAAUAUUGAGCAUGAUUUUGAGGUAAAACUGAUUAUUUACAGCAUCUUUUCUCUAAUAGGCUAACAUUUAUGAUGGAUCUUAUUUCAAAGUUGAUUAUUCUCAAAGAAAAGUGGAGAUAUUAGAAUUUCCGAGUAAAUUGCAUUGUUUUAAAAAGUACUUUAAUGCAUUGUUCACAUUGUUGCCAGCUAUUGACCAAAAAAGAGAAGAAGAAAAAAGAAAUAAAAAAAGCAGUAUCUGCUCCAAACGUCAAGUUUUGCAGUUUGAAAGACUUGUACAUUAUAAUUGUUUUUUUCUUUUUUGGAAAGCAGUAGUAAUUAAUACCAAAGGCAUAGACAAUUUAGGGCCAUAACCUCCCUUCCCCCCUCUCCACCUUUUUUUUUUUUUUUUUUUUUUUUUAACUUUAACCAUGAUAGGCAUCUCUGCAAGGUAGGUUUUAACAUAUUUUUUUCCUAAUUUUUUUCCCUCCAUUCAGUAAGAAGGAUAAGCUUUUAGAGUACCCAGUCACCGUGGUAACUGCCAAAAAAAUUCUCCUGAAGUUUGAAGAGGUCAGCUAGCAGGGUCAACAACCCUGGCCUCUCUCUGAGCUCGGUCUAGCAUGCCCCAGCCUGCGGUUGGAGUGUCAGGCCAGAUCUGACCCUGGGAGGUGGACCAUUCUGGCUCUGAUAUAAAUUUUUCGAGUCAGUUCAUGGCCUGGACUCUCCAGGUGGCCUCCAAAAUCGAUUUUGACCCCCUGACCCUGUCUCACGGAGGCAUAGCAUCCACCCUAAGUAAGGAUUUAGCCAGGAAUGACAGCUUUCCACUGAGUGUUAUUGGGGACAGUAUAAACAGUUUGGAAAGCAAGUAAGGAGGUGUGAGGGCUAGCAAUCAUUAAAAGCACAUUAAAAAACAAUUUUUAAAAAUCUUUAUUAGAGAAAGUUGUAAAUGCAUAUCUGUUACAGAAUUCCUGUGAUUUGUAGAGUUUUCUAGUCAGUUUUGAAUAUAAAUAGGUCACAUAUCUUUAUCUUUUUGCAUACUUUGUUACAAAUAUGCAAAUAAGAUAGGCAUACUUGCUACAAAAUAGGUACAGCAGGAAUGUAAUAUGUUCAGAAAAGGCAAACUGGUUAUUAAAACACAUUAACAGGUAAGGAGUUUCUAAUAUUUUAAAUACUAAAAUUUUACAUGUGUAUUUUGAAGUUUUUAAAAUGGAAAAAUAAAGAACCUUUAAAAAACCCAACAGUGUGGAAUAAAGAUAAACUUGUUGCACUCAAGGUACAUUUCUACUUUGUAAAGCAAGAAGCCAAUACACUCAGUUGGAUAAAAAUGAGAGAAAAAUUGUAAAUAUAGAGAGUUACAGCUUAUAGAGCUGAAGAGGAAUAAAACAAAAAAAAGUGUCUCUGAAUAACUUUAUGUAUUUUCAACAGUUUAAGAUAUCAGAAACUUGGAAAAUAAAUAUGAUAUAUAUAUAAAUCAUCAGUGAUUAUUUCCUUUUCAUUCCCCCCCGCCCCCAGGAUGCCACCGUGAGUGUUUGAUUUUCUCUAGGAAAGUAGAAUUCUCUUUGAGAGUUCUAGCCUGUGAACUCAGUAUGUAAAUGUGGCCAUCAAGAAGACAGAACUGCCAAGAGGAAAGAUUAUGAAUGUUUUUCUUCCUUAAAACCAUUCACAGUGUUUCUUCUUCCAGUGCUUUACUCAGACUUCUCCCCUUUUCCCAGCUCUGUUGAAAAUGGCUUCAAAAGCAACACUGCAGUGGCUAAACCAAUUGUACUGUGAAGUUGUUGAGAUGCCAUUUCAUCUGAAUCCUUCGUAAAAAUUAGAUUUUUAAGUAGGGGUGAAUAUCCUUUUGGGAGAGGGAAUGGGAGGGUAGAAGAAGGGGGGAAAGGACAGAGCAGUUUAUAUAUAUAUAUAUAUAUAUAUAUAUAUAUAUAUAUAUAUAUAUGAGUAUAUAUAUAUGAGUAUAUAUAUAUAUGAGUAUAUAUAUAUGAGUAUAUAUAUAUGAGUAUAUAUAUAUGAGUAUAUAUAUAUGAGUAUAUAUAUAUAUGAGUAUAUAUAUAUGAGUAUAUAUAUAUAUGAGUAUAUAUAUAUGAGUAUAUAUAUAUAUGAGUAUAUAUAUAUAUACUCUUUGUGUUUGAAGGCCUCUGUGUCUUGGCUUCUCACUAUGUUAAAUCCCUAUUAUAAAACUUAUCUUCACAAAGCCUAUUAUAGUAUUCUGAGAACAAAUUGGACCAUGAAUAACUUAGUUGGAAGUGUAGAUUAUUUUCUACUCAGGGGAAGUUAGAGAUGACAACAGCUUAACUGAAAGAAUAGUGAUUAAUCUUAAAUAGAUGGAUUUCAAAGUUUCACUCUUGAUAAAGAGUACCUUUGAUAUUUCCCCUCUUCAGAAUCACGUUUCCACUCUCUUUGUAUUAAGAAUUGUCCUAGUGAUUACACUCUCCCCCUAAUACAGCUCAAAGUGUAGAUCAUUUUUUUUCCAGGUUGUUAAUUUGUCAGAGAGGUGACCAGAAAGACACUCUACUUCCUGUUGGUUAAAUCGAUGAUUCCUAAGUGGUACUAGGCUUAGAUACAAAAGUCAAUGAUAAGAAUAUCUUGCAUAAAUCAUAGCUUCUUACUUAGAUAAAAUUCUUAUUUAAAAAUUUUUAAUUUGCUUAAUGCCCUAUAGCUUACAAAGCACUUUUUAAAUCAUAAUUUUGUUUAAUCCUUAGAAUAAUGUUAUAAGAUAAACAAAACUCAUCAAUCCCAUUUUACCUGUGAUUGCACACUGUGAUUGAGCUAAUAAAUGGAAGAAUUGAGAUACCAACUCAGAUUUUGUAGCUUCUGUUUCAAGUGAUUAACCUGUAGCAACAGGCUUUUGAAUUAUUUUUGUGUUCUAUAUCCCUGAAGAUAAAGAUUCUGUAUUAAAGAGCCAAGAUUUUAUAUCUCACAAAUUAAAAACUUAAAAGACAUGACUGAAAAGAAUUCUGUUUACUUUAAAGUGAAUUUUACCAGUUAUUAUUUUUCUUUCUAUAUAUAUGCUUAAAUGGUCUUUCAGAACUGACGGUUUUAAUUUCCAAAAGUUAAACAUGGGAAGCUCUAUAUAAAUUAAAUAACUAUCUGGAAUUUAAACCACGUAUAUAAGAAACUUAGAUUCUAUAUUUCAAAGUAAAAUAUAGCAUAAGACUUUAGAAGCAGGUUCUACAUAUUAAGUAAUUAUUUGAGAAUAUGCCAUUGAUAAAGCUCUUGAGUGUUAGAGGCGAGAUUUCCCUUCAAUUUUAAAAAACUUUUAAAAUCUUUUAACAUCUUAGCAAGUCUGGAUAAACAAAGUCAAAGUCAUAUAGAACUACUUUUGUUCUCUUAGGCUUUUACUUUUUGUGUUUAAUAAAAAGGUUUGCAAAAUACUCUAGGAAAAAUAAUAAAAGGAUUAUUAACUUGACAUUAAUGUAAACCAUCUAAACAUUACAGAAAUCAAGAAAUACAAAUAGAUGACAUUAUUUUAUUCUUAGGUUUUUAAUUAUAUUGCUUUAAACAUGUAAUGUGGGCAGUGUAGAUGUUAAUAUGGAAAUUCUUAUUUUUUAUUUCUUAAAUUAUAUAAAAUUAAAUUAGUCAUUUUAUAUAUACUUAAAUUAAUGCUUUUGCCCUUGAAAUAUUCUAGCAGCCAGAAAAAUCUAGUUAAGCUUGUUAGCAUUAGACAAAAUGAAAAAGUGUAGAGAAAAAGAAAAGCGACUGUUCUGGUAUCAAUAAUGACAUAUGAUAACCUUUUUUUGUACUGAAGUUUUUCUACAAAAACAUGACAUUAGACUGAGGAUUUUUCAUUCUGAUGUGCAGGUUAAUGUUCAAGUCUCCAAAUACAAACUUCUAGUGUCUCCUCCAC